rnacentral:rRNA from 1 species
GCACAAGCGGUGGAUGAUGUGGUUUAAUUCGAUGCAACGCGAAAACCUUACCCACCUUUGACAUGUACGGAAUCCUUUAGAGAUAGAGGAGUGCUCGAAAGAGAGCCGUAACACAGGUGCUGCAUGGCUGUCGUCAGCUCGUGUCGUGAGAUGUUGGGUUAAGUCCCGCAACGAGCGCAACCCUUGCCAUUAGUUGCUACGAAAGGGCACUCUAAUGGGACUGCCGGUGACAAACCGGAGGAAGGUGGGGAUGACGUCAAGUCCUCAUGGCCCUUAUAGGUGGGGCUACACACGUCAUACAAUGGCCGGUACAGAGGGUAGCCAACCCGCGAGGGGGAGCCAAUCCCACAAAGCCGGUCGUAGUCCGGAUCGCAGUCUGCAACUCGACUGCGUGAAGUCGGAAUCGCUAGUAAUCGCGGAUCAGCAUGUCGCGGUGAAUACGUUCCCGGGUCUU